GUCUGGGCUCCAGCUUCUUCACAACUUCCCAGCUAUCAAGGGAAGAUGAGAUGUUUAAAGUAACUUCUCUUUCAAAGAAAGGUAACAGAAGCUCAUGGCACCUGGGUGGCUCAUUCGAGCCCUGCAUCAGGCCCUGCACUGACAGCUUGGAGCCUGGAGCUUGCUUCGGAUUCUGUGUCUCCCCCUCUCUCUGCCCCUCCCCACUGUGCUCUGUCUCUCUCUCUCUCUCUCAAAAA